rnacentral:rRNA from 1 species
AUUGAACGCUGGCGGCAGGCCUAACACAUGCAAGUCGAACGAGUGGCGGACGGGUGAGUAAUGUCUGGGAAACUGCCCGAUGGAGGGGGAUAACUACUGGAAACGGUAGCUAAUACCGCAUACCAUCGGAUGUGCCCAGAUGGGAUUAGCUAGUAGGUGGGGUAACGGCUCACCUAGGCGACGAUCCCUGUCUGGUCUGAGAGGAGGACCGUCCAAACUGGAACUUAGCCACGGUCCAGACUCCUACGGUAGGCAGCAGUGGGGAAUAUUGCACAAUGGGCGCAAGCCUGAUGCAGCCAUGCCGCGUGUAUUAAGAAGGCCUUCGGGUUGUAAAGUACUUUCAGCGAGGAGGCGUUACUCGCAGAAGAAGCACCGGCUAACUCCGUGCCAGCCGCCGCGGUAAUAC